CCGCCCGCUCCGCCAGUAAACCGGCGUCACUGCGCCUGCGCGAAGGAGGCGGUGGCGAGGGUGGCACAGGUGUGCGGUGUUUUAGGCCCAGGUGGACCAGGGUUGUCCGGAAGCCGCUUUUCUCCAGAACCUCCACCCGAGUCCUAGCCGCGGUGAGGCAUAGCUUGCUUACGUAACUACACAAAUCUCGAGUGUACAGCUGGACGAUUUUUACAUAUGUUGCCACCACCCAGAUCAAGCUAGACAACGCUUCCUGGGCCCCAGAAGACUCACGUUCCUCCACGCUCAAGCUGUGGUCUGGCGAUUCUGAGAUCAAGCCGCGAAUCAGCGUGAAGUCUGUUUGAGAUUCUUUCUCUCCCUCUGCCCCUCCACUGCUGAUGCACGUGCAUGC